GGGAAAGUGGCUCAGUGGUAGAGCGCUUGCCUUGCAUCCAUGAGGCCCUGGGUUCAAUUCCUCAGCACCA
rnacentral:tRNA from 1 species